rnacentral:rRNA from 1 species
UACGUAGGGGGCUAGCGUUGUCCGGAAUUAUUGGGCGUAAAGGGCUCGUAGGCGGUUUGUCGCGUCGGGAGUGAAAACACCGGGCUUAACUCGGUGCUUGCUUUCGAUACGGGCAGACUAGAGGCAUGCAGGGGAGAACGGAAUUCCUGGUGUAGCGGUGAAAUGCGCAGAUAUCAGGAGGAACACCGGUGGCGAAGGCGGUUCUCUGGGCAUGUCCUGACGCUGAGGAGCGAAAGCCAGGGGAGCAAACGGG